rnacentral:misc_RNA from 1 species
GAUGAAGAACGUAGCGAAAUGCGAUAAGUAAUGCGAACUGCAGAAUCCGUGAGUCAUCGAAUCUUUGAACGCACAUUGCGCCCUUUGGUAUUCCGAAGGGCAUGCCUGUUCGAGCGUCAUUAUCACCCCUCAAGCCCCGGCUUGGUGUUGGGCUCUCGGUGGUCGUCUCCGACCACCCGUCUCAAAGAUAGUGACGGCGUCCCAGAGGGAACCGGUACGAGGAGCUUUCACGAGCAUGUACGCGGGACGACUCUGCGGGCGACGGUCUUAUUUACUUUAUAUACAAGUGUUGACCUCGGAUCAGGUAGGAAUACCCGCUGAACUUAAGCAUAUCAAUAACGGAGGA